rnacentral:rRNA from 1 species
GUACGGGAGGCAGCAGUGGGGAAUAUUGCACAAUGGGGGAAACCCUGAUGCAGCGACGCCGCGUGAGCGAAGAAGUAUUUCGGUAUGUAAAGCUCUAUCAGCAGGGAAGAUAAUGACGGUACCUGACUAAGAAGCCCCGGCUAACUACGUGCCAGCAGCCGCGGUAAUACGUAGGGGGCAAGCGUUAUCCGGAUUUACUGGGUGUAAAGGGAGCGUAGACGGCAAGGCAAGUCUGAUGUGAAAACCCAGGGCUUAACCCUGGGACUGCAUUGGAAACUGUCUGGCUCGAGUGCCGGAGAGGUAAGCGGAAUUCCUAGUGUAGCGGUGAAAUGCGUAGAUAUUAGGAAGAACACCAGUGGCGAAGGCGGCUUACUGGACGGUAACUGACGUUGAGGCUCGAAAGCGUGGGGAGCAAACAGGAUUAGAUACCCGUGUAGUCCA